GUUGGCUCACGGUUCUAUAGUUCUGUGUAGAACUGUGUUCCUUCACAGUCUCUUCAGUUUUUUUAAACAUAAAGAAAAACCACUGAAUGAGAAGGUGUGUCAUGUUCACCAAGUUAAAGGUUGUAGUUUGUGUGUAAGAUGUCUUGUAAUAAACUAUGAGUGAUUUUAUAUCUGCAGGUAACAUUAUUAACAUAAUGAAAAAUGUCACAGUAGCAUUUUUUUCCCUUUGUCCAGGUUAAAGGUGGCAGAUUUGUGCACUUCACUGUCUCAGUAAAGUCAUAUUAGGUCAUGGUUGAGUUUCUUUCUACUGUAUGUCUGUAGUUUUCACACAGUAUCUGAAUAACAGAUGAACAGUAAAGUAUGAUGCAGUUCCAGCAGGUCCUGCUGGUAACAGUUUUAAACCCUAGACUGUGCUGUAAGGCUGUGAUUAGACAGUCUGCAGGAGCACCACAUGCAUAUUUAGACUGACUGAACUGCGAAAAUACGAACGUGUUCAUGUUCUGAGCAUUUCAGUAGCUGCUCUUUACAGACGGUCCCUCUCGCUCUCUUUAGCACAGCUGCAGUGGUUCCAGUCAUCCAGGCUCCGAGGUGGGGGUGAAGGAAAGUUGGAGAGGAUGUUGGCUGGUCGUGUAAAGGAUCCGGCUCAUUAAAAAAUCAAACAUAAAGAAGAAAUAAUCUGAUUCAGAGGAAGAGGCCAGACUCACCUGACCCCAGCUGUGAGUCCAAGAAGAGUGAUGAGUCAAUGGACCGUCCAGUUCAGUUCAGAGGGGAGGACAGUUCUGCUGGACUGAGUCUGAUUCAGAGGAAGAGGCCAGACUCACCUGACCCCAGCUGUGUGUCCAUGAAGAGUGACGAGUCAAUGGACCAUCCAAAUGUGUUCAGAGGGGAGGACAGUUCUGCUGUGCCGAGGUAAAGAUGGCUUUAACAGUGAAGAACAGUGUAGAGCUCCUGUCCACAAGGUGGAGCACACUUACCCUCAGGGCUACAGCCAGUGACGCUGUGGAUAUAUCAGACAAUUUCAGCUUUA
ensembl:lncRNA